UUCUCAGCUCAAGUGCAAUUAACAGUAAAAUGAAAUGUGGCUCACUAUGCUUUCCUCAGACUUAUGUUAAAUGACCUUAUUUUAAAGAAAAACGAGGCAGAAAUCCUUCCCCAGUAGCUUUUCUUGGGAAGAGCUCUACUCCUCGGGCUAUUUCUGUAUGCCCUUUCAGCAACAAGAUUUUCAGUCUCAGCAUAUGUGAAUUUCCAGUUUCUUCUUUAUUGGGAAUAACUAGAAAAAGCAUGAAAUGGAGUUCAGAAAUAGUAAAGAGAGAUGAUAUUAAAUAAGAGCAGUAGGAAUUCUGCCAAGAAGCCUUGAGAGGAAUGACAGGAGCGGAGGGAAAGGCUCUUGCACGUGGAACAGCUCCUGCGUGGCGAGGAGGAGGCGCUCAGAGGAGCUCCCAGCGAGGCGUGGCCUGGCUGCCGUUUCAGUCAUCGAAAUCAGACUGCAGCGAAAGUGGGCUUCUUUACUUUUUAAUGAAAAAUUUCAAAAACACAAAAUAGAGUAAGUAUUUGUCAUAAUGAACAAAUAUAAUGAACCUCCAGGCACCCAUCACCCCAGACUCAACAGUCAUCAACUCAUGGCCAAAUUUGCAUCUUCUAUAAACCUACUAAUCCCCACCCCUACCCAGAUGAUUUGGAAGCAAAUCCCAGAUUUUACAUUAUUUCACCCACAAACCUUUCAUUAUAUAUGUAUAUAUCUAUAUCCAUGUAUAUGUACCCAUUAUCAUACCUUUGAAUAUUUUAUGUUAAGAAAUUAUUGUUAAUUUUCAACCAGAGUUCAAAUUUUCCAAUUAUCUCAUAAUUUUUUCUUUGUUUGUUUGAAUCGGGAUCCAUAUAAGGUCCAUAUGUUGCAAUUGGUAGAUGUUUCCCUUAAAAUCUUUCAGUCCAUGUUUCAGUGAAGAUCCGGGCAUGGGGAGAAAUGCUUCUUCACAGGUGCCUACUUCUCCAUGAAUAGUCUGCAACAAAACCAAAUAAAUGUAUCAUGGUCCUGUAGAAACUAUAGGGUAAGGAACUUCUUCAACACUUCUAACAACUGAAUGAAAAUAACAGUGAGUAUAGAUUUCAUAUAUUGUGGAUUCAGAAGUGUCAAAAUGUAACUUCAUUUUAUUAAUUUUUAACUUGAGUCCUUAUUCUGUCUUUUUUUUUGAAAACUCAGUCUAGUCUCAGAUAAAUCUAAUCGGGUCCAGUGAGUUUUCAAUUUUAGUCACCUUCGGAACACCCGCCCCCCCUUCUCCCAGGAGCUGAUGCUGUCAAAAGGACCCACUUACCUGCAGUUUUGUGUGGGUGGGGAGGAACUGAGCCCUCCUGUUUCAUUGUUCCCUCUGUUUUCCAUUGCUGCAUACAUAAUGAGCUGCCACAAACUUAGUGGCUUAAAGCUACACUUGCUUAUUAGCUCACCGUUCUGUGUGUCAGAAUUCUUGCGCAGCAUGACUGGGUUCUCUGCUCGGGGAAGGCUGAAAUCAAGGAUCCUUGAACGGCCAUGUGAGAAGAUACCAUGUGGAAAGAGAGAAACCCCAAGACAGUGAAAGAGAGAAAGAGGAGAUGGAGAGAGAGAGGAAGGAGGGGGCAUGGCUGCCCCAGCAUCCCAGCGAAGCCCAGAUUUCAUCCCCUCCAAGGCUUCCUGGAAGUGAACCAUCUUGGACUGCUUCAGCCCAAACAGGCCCGGGAACGACUGCAGGCCCAGCUGACAUCACAAGGAGAAGAACCAUCCCCCUGAGUUCAGUCUGAAUCAUGGGAGAUAAUGAAAU
ensembl:lncRNA